UACGAAGGGGCUAGCGUUGCUCGGAAUCACUGGGCGUAAAGCGCACGUAGGCGGAUUGCUAAGUCAGGGGUGAAAUCCUGGAGCUCAACUCCAGAACUGCCUUUGAUACUGGCGAUCUUGAGUCCGGGAGAGGGUGAGUGGAACUGCGAGUGUAGAGGUGAAAUUCGUAGAUAUUCGCAAGAACACCAGUGGCGAAGGCGGCUCACUGGCCCGGUACUGACGCUGAGG
rnacentral:rRNA from 1 species